AUACUCUGGUUUCUCUUCAUAUCGAACAAAUCUUUCGCCUUUUACUAAAGAUUUCCGUGGAGAGGAACUAGCAAGAGUUCGUCACCAAUUUUUAGAAACCUUGCUUCAGCGAGGUU
rnacentral:snRNA from 1 species